UGCCUAAAACAUAGCGUUAAUGCACCAAAUCCCAUUAAAAGUUUGUAGGUAAGCAUGCUUAGGAUAGAUUAGUACUGGAAUGGGUGACCACCUAGGAAGUCCUAAUAUUUUACACAC
rnacentral:rRNA from 1 species